UACAGAGGGUGCGAGCGUUGUCCGGAAUCACUGGGCGUAAAGGGCGCGUAGGCGGUUUUUCAAGCGUGCGGUGAAAGCUCAGGGCUCAACCCUGAGUCGGCCGUGCGAACUGGAAGACUGGAGCACGGUAGAGGCACAUGGAAUUCCGGGUGUAGCGGUGGAAUGCGUAGAGAUCCGGAAGAACACCGGUGGCGAAGGCGGUGUGCUGGGCCGUUGCUGACGCUGAGGCGCGACAGCGUGGGGAGCAAACGGG
rnacentral:rRNA from 1 species